AUUUCUUUGCCGCCGGGUAAAGAGUUGAGCGUCAGAUUUUCUAUCGUUAGGCCUUUGAAGAUAGAAAUUUGCCGCUUUAUUUUU
rnacentral:ncRNA from 1 species